rnacentral:rRNA from 1 species
AUUGAACGCUGGCGGCAGGCCUAACACAUGCAAGUCGAACGGUAACAGGGAGCAGCUUGCUGCUCUGCUGACGAGUGGCGGACGGGUGAGUAAUGUCUGGGAAACUGCCUGAUGGAGGGGGAUAACUACUGGAAACGGUAGCUAAUACCGCAUAACGUCUACGGACCAAAGUGGGGGACCUUCGGGCCUCAUGCCAUCAGAUGUGCCCAGAUGGGAUUAGCUAGUAGGUGGGGUAACGGCUCACCUAGGCGACGAUCCCUAGCUGGUCUGAGAGGAUGACCAGCCACACUGGAACUGAGACACGGUCCAGACUCCUACGGGAGGCAGCAGUGGGGAAUAUUGCACAAUGGGCGCAAGCCUGAUGCAGCCAUGCCGCGUGUAUGAAGAAGGCCUUCGGGUU